AGAGUUUGAUCCUGGCUCAGGACGAACGCUGGCGGCGUGCCUAACACAUGCAAGUCGAACGGAGUGUUACGCUGAACGGAAGGUGCUUGCACUGGAAGUUCUUGUAACACUUAGUGGCGGACGGGUGAGUAACGCGUGAGCAACCUGCCUUUCGGAGGGGGAUAACGUUUGGAAACGAACGCUAAAACCGCAUGAGACUACGGUACCGCAUGGUAGAGUGGUCAAAGGAGCAAUCCGCUGAAAGAUGGGCUCGCGUCCGAUUAGAUAGUUGGCGGGGUAGAGGCCCACCAAGUCGACGAUCGGUAGCCGGACUGAGAGGUUGAACGGCCACAUUGGGACUGAGACACGGCCCAGACUCCUACGGGAGGCAGCAGUGAGGGAUAUUGGUCAAUGGGGGAAACCCUGAACCAGCAACGCCGCGUGAGGGAAGACGGUCUUCGGAUUGUAAACCUUUGUCCUCUGUGAAGAUAAUGACGGUAGCAGAGGAGGAAGCUCCGGCUAACUACGUGCCAGCAGCCGCGGUAAUACGUAGGGAGCAAGCGUUGUCCGGAUUUACUGGGUGUAAAGGGUGCGUAGGCGGGUAGACAAGUCAGAAGUGAAAUCCAUGGGCUUAACCCAUGAACUGCUUUUGAAACUGUUUAUCUUGAGUGAAGUAGAGGUAGGCGGAAUUCCCGGUGUAGCGGUGAAAUGCGUAGAGAUCGGGAGGAAC
rnacentral:rRNA from 1 species